GACGAACGCUUGCGGCGUGCCUAAGAAAUGCAAGUCGAACGGGGGUAGCAAUACCCUAGUGGCGAACGGUCGCGUAACACGUAAGAAACCUGCCUUGAAGCGGGGGACAACAGUCCGAAAGGACUGCUAAUACCGCAUGUGGUCAACGAGGGGCAUCCCUUGUUGUCUAAAGAUUUAUCACUUCAAGAUGGUCUUGCGGCCUAUCAGCUAGUUGGUGGGGUAACGGCCUACCAAGGCGACGACGGGUAGCUGGUCUGAGAGGACGAUCAGCCGGAUUGGGACUGAGAUACGGCCCAGACUCCUACGGGGGGCAGCAAUUAGGAAUCUUGCACAAUGGGCGAAAGCCUGAUGCAGCGACGCCGCGUGAAGGAUGAAGGUUCUCGGA
rnacentral:rRNA from 1 species